rnacentral:lncRNA from 1 species
AACCCGCGUCACACUGCAGGCAGCCACUUCUGUGACGCAGUUCUAGCUCUUUGCACCGGGUUUUGCGUGCUCGUCUGACAUGCGUUCGGGGAAACUGAGCAUCCGGGAGCCGGUGUAAGCCGUGACCGCAGCCUGAGGAGCCGGGCCCUCCUGCGGGGGUUGAAUGCCGGGUCCCUGGCACGCGGAGGAGAGGCGGUGGGAGGCGGGGCGCGGCCGGAGCGCUGCACGCCGCUGGCCUCUGCCCCGCAGGCCUGGCCGAGAGCGGGAGGCGCCCGGCUGGGCCCCACAGACACCGGGACUGUGGCCAUCAGGCCAGGGCCAGGGACUCCCGUCUGCACCCGGCCUCUAGGGCCCUCACUCCCACAGCGCCCCCCAGCGGCACAGGGCCUCCUGGACGGAACUGAAAGUCUGAAAGUCCUGCCGGGCGACGCUCUGUUUGCACGUUUCGUCCACGUCUGCAGUGCAUCGUGACUGCGCUCCUCCCGUGGCGAAGGGACUGUCAAACUCCGCAAGGGCAGCCAUUGGUGUAAUCAGCAAAAAGCCAUCCUGCAGCUGGAAAAAAAUUACAUCUUUGAAUAAUGCUGCUGGAGGAGUUUAACAUUUUGGAAAAGAAACUCAAUAAAAACUAAGGAGAAUAUAUAUUUAAAAAAUAAAAAAAUGCAAAUACCCUGAAAAUAACCAAUUUUGCAAACUACAGGGUUUGGAAUUGAAGAAAACCAAACACUUGCCAUCAUCUACUGCUACAACCAUGGGUUCCUUUCCUCCCAGCAGCUCAGAUUCUUUGCCUCUGGUCCUCACACCCCAACCCAAAGGCCCAAAUAACUCAUGGUGGGAACAUCAGGUACCUGAAGUUUAAAUACAAUGACCUACCGUUUUAAUGACUGUUCAGGCUUAUGACCCUCCACUUGGACUUACACCCA